CCCCUCUCAGGAUCGCUUCUGGAGAGUUUCCAGGACUCUGUCAGUCUCAGCUAUGGGAGGGAGAGUCAAACAGAGGUUUACCCAUUCCAUUCCUAGCUUGGGCAAUGGCUAGCGACUGGAAGGCGAUCUGCUACAAGU